AACGAGGCCGACCUGCGGCUGAGUUACCUGCGGAGGGAUCAUUAUAGAGUUUUCUAAACUCCCAAACCCAUGUGAACUUACCAUUGUUGCCUCGGCAGAACCUACCCGGUACCUACCCUGGAACUAGCUACCCUGUAGCUACCCAGGAACGGACUACCCUGUAACGUCCUGCCGGUGGACUUCUAAACUCUUGUUAUUUAUAGUAAUCUGAGCGUCUUAUUUUAAUAAGUCAAAACUUUU
rnacentral:misc_RNA from 1 species